rnacentral:rRNA from 1 species
UACGUAGGUGUCAAGCGUUGUCCGGAUUUAUUGGGCGUAAAGCGCCCGCAGGCGGCUUGCCAAGUUCGAUGUGAAAUCUCCCGGCUCAACUGGGAGGGUGCAUCGAAAACUGGCAGGCUUGAGGCAGGGAGAGGGAUGUGGAAUUCCAGGUGUAGUGGUGAAAUGCGCAGAUAUCAGGAAGAACACCUAUGGCGAAAGCAGCUCUCUGGGACGGUACUGACGCUGAGACGCGAAAGCGUGGGGAGCGAACAGG